UCAGACUGACUCUGUCUUUCUUUAUGUGCCUGGUCUCCUUCUUCUCUCGCCCCCAUUGGCUUUCAGGUGGUUCCCUCCUCGAGACCCUCGAAUAACCUGACCUGCUGGACGGGUCAAGUGGCGCCCAACGUGGGGCUCGAGGCACGGCGACCCAUCGGACGACAGACGAAAGAAGGUCCGGCCGGACACACAUAUUUUGGUAGAGGCGCCCGGACAGCAUCACUCGUGCGACGCGGGCUACCUUGAGAAAUGCCUCCGGCUUAAAAAAUAAAGGGAGCCACGGACAUCUCAAUGGCAGGACCUGUUCGUCGCGGGCCUCGGAAAACCAACCCCUGCUUCAUUGUUUGCUUACUACUCUUCCCCCUUCCCCUCUCCUGCAUCUCCAAGGAAAGCCCCCAUGCUAUUAAAAAGCUUACCUGGUGAAUUUUCACAGUAA